GUGCUCACCUCAGCAGCACAUAUACUAAAACAGAACUGAUAAUGAAAAAAUUAGCAUGGUCCUUGUGCAAAGAUGGCACACAGAUUCAUGAAGCAUUCUCUAUCUAU